UGGGAGAAAGCAGAAAAAGGGCAUUGUAACUGCAAUGCAUUGAGGCAGACGUGGGAUCUGGUGGCGAAUGCCACAGGAAUAAGCGAUAAAAGACGAAUGUAGGCGAAAAAACUGCAGAAGCAUGAAAGAUAGCCAACGCUAUUAUAAGUCAAAAACUAGUGCUUAAGUCAGGGAGCGCUUGUAGUCUGAAGCUGCAUAUGGGCGUAGAAGUGAGAUCUACGGAAGACUGGCAGUUUUCGGAAGAGCUUUCAUUUUUAUUACCGCCAUCUGCAAAAAGAUUCACAAAAUCUUCUGACCUCAUUCUAAAAAGCACAUUCGACAAUUUGAAGGAAAUAUGUGAAGAUGUUUCGCGAAUAUUUCUUCGGUGCCUCUAUUUUGCAAGAACGUUGAUAUCGGAGAUCGGUUUGAAGAAAUUGCGGCAGCAUUUGUAAUGUUAAUUAUAUGUUGAGCUGCCAAACAUGCUGCUGCUGCUUUUUCCAAAUCCAUUUUUA
rnacentral:sRNA from 1 species